rnacentral:lncRNA from 1 species
GAAAAUGCUUCAUGCCUCCGUGUCUUAAAGCUUUCAUUCUUUACCAGGAAACAGGCUCAGAGAGAAGAAGGGAAUUAUGUACCUCGGUUUAGAGCCAAAGUGUCCUGCCUGCAUUCCAGCUGUUUCCAUCCAUGUCCCUGUCAACUGGCAUCUGGAACUACUCGUAGCAGCAUCCACUCAAUAUACCAGCCUGGAAGACAACGGAGCUGUCAUUCUGUUAAAAAAUUAAGAGAAGUACGCAGAACCUGCCUUUUUCUAAAUGAGAAGCUUUGGAAGCGACUGGACACUUUUGGCCAUUGCAGUCCACAGAAGGUUACCUGGAGACUUUGGCAAGAGCCACAGCAGUUCCUAAAAGGAAAAGAAACCUCAAAGGAGAAUGUUAAUCUCCCCGAUCAGCUCCAGCUCUCCCUGGAAACAUCCUUUUCUAUGUAACAGCCUAAAUCAUCCCAAAGAGAACAUUCUCCAACAUUAGCGUACCUAACAAUCAACACGGAGAUUUCCAGGACCUGUUCCAGAAACACGGACUCAGUAGGUUUAGGGUGGAAGUUUGGAAUCUGCCUUUUAACCAACUCCCUGCUAUGGACUGACUUGUUUCACCCCAAAAUUCAUAUAUUGAAGCCCUCACCCCUAAUGUGAUGGCAUUUGAAGAUGGGGCCUUUGGGAGGUCAUUAUGUUUAGAUGAGGUCGUGAGGAAGGGAGCCCCAUGAUGGAUGGGAUUAAUGCCCUCAUAAGAAGACAUGCCAGAGAGCUCUCUCUACUCUCAAGUACCCAGGAAAGGCCAUAACAAGACACAGCCAGAAGACAGCUAUCUGCAAGCCAGGAAGCGCCCUCACCAAACAGACAUGGACCCUGCUAGCACCUUGCUCUUGGGCAUUCAGCCUCCAGAAUUGGGAGACGAUCAAUUCCUUCUGUGAAGGUAUUUUAUUAAGGCAGUCAAAGCUGACUGAGAUACUCCCCUGAUCACUGUGAUGUCCAGUGCCGAGGGCCUAUGCUUUGAAAAUCAAUAUUCUAGUCUUAGGCCAAAACUCUCCUCCCUGCUUCCCCAGCCACUCCUUGAGCUUUCUUCUUCCUCAUGGCCCUCUCGGCCUUCUGGACAGGCUUCUUCCUGGGUACAAGUCACAUGAAUGUCACUGACCUGUGACUUUGUCUUUGUUUCCUGAGUGCAUCACACAGUACAUGGCCUAUGGCAGGCAUUCAGAAAGUAUUGAUUUCAUGAAUGAAUAGGUGAAUGAAUGAGUGAGCAAAUGAAUGAAUUUAUAUCACAUAGAAUAAUUAACUUCCCUUUUAGUAUCUCCCUAAUCCUUCCAACUCUAACUUGAGGACGCUAUGACUUGCUUUCAAGAUCAUUUUCCAGGCCUGGUGCGGUGGCUCAUGCCUGUAAUCCCAGCACUUUGGGAGGCUGAGGCAGGUGGAUCACCCGAAGACAGGAGUUCAAGACCAGCCUUGCCAACAUGGUGAAACCCUGUCUCUACUAAAAAUACAAAAAUUUGGCAGGCUUGGUGGCUGGCGCCUGUAAUCCCAGCUACUUGGGAGGCUGAGGCAGGAGAAUUGCUUGGACCCAGGAGGCGGAGGUUGCAGUGAGCUGAGAUCACACCACUGCACUCCAGCCUGGGCAACAAGAGCAAAACUCUGUCUGAAAAUAAAUAAAUAAUAGGAUUAUUUUGCAUCCAUUCUAUUAUUUUGUGGGA